UACGAAGGGGGCUAGCGUUGCUCGGAAUCACUGGGCGUAAAGCGCACGUAGGCGGAUUCUUAAGUCAGGGGUGAAAUCCUGGAGCUCAACUCCAGAACUGCCUUUGAUACUGAGGGUCUUGAGUUCGGGAGAGGUGAGUGGAACUGCGAGUGUAGAGGUGAAAUUCGUAGAUAUUCGCAAGAACACCAGUGGCGAAGGCGGCUCACUGGCCCGAUACUGACGCUGAGGUGCGAAAGCGUGGGGAGCAAACAGG
rnacentral:rRNA from 1 species